GAGAAAGGUCCAGUUUGCAUACUGGAGCCACCAAAGGUCACCAAGCAGGAAGCAGCAUUUCACCAAGAGGAGAAGUGAGCAGUGGACUGUUUAACUGCUAAGGACUAAAGGUGCUGAGAUGUUAUGCUGACAUAAUUGUGUAUAUGUACUUUGUCAGUGUUUCUUCCUGGGUUCUGACAAGAAUGAGCACAUGACACUAGAAUCUUCACCUUGGAUUUCUGUGUUCGCAUAUCUAGUUUCUUGACGGCACCGUCUCCAAUCCUUCCCUCCCUUUCUGUCUUGGCCACUGACAACGUAUCCAGGCCAUAGGAAACUUAAACACAAUGUGACAAUCAUCAUCAGCCAAGAUGCCUGCAGUCCUAAGAUGGCACAAGGUGAAAUAAGGUCA